rnacentral:rRNA from 1 species
GACGAACGCUGUCGGCGUGCUUAACACAUGCAAGUCGAACGGAAAGGCCCUGCUUUUGUGGGGUGCUCGAGUGGCGAACGGGUGAGUAACACGUGAGUAACCUGCCCUUGACUUUGGGAUAACUUCAGGAAACUGGGGCUAAUACCGGAUAGGAGCUCCUGCUGCAUGGUGGGGGUUGGAAAGUUUCGGCGGUUGGGGAUGGACUCGCGGCUUAUCAGCUUGUUGGUGGGGUAGUGGCUUACCAAGGCUUUGACGGGUAGCCGGCCUGAGAGGGUGACCGGCCACAUUGGGACUGAGAUACGGCCCAGACUCCUACGGGAGGCAGCAGUGGGGAAUAUUGCACAAUGGGCGGAAGCCUGAUGCAGCAACGCCGCGUGCGGGAUGACGGCCUUCGGGUUGUAAACCGCUUUCGCCUGUGACGAAGCGUGAGUGACGGUAAUGGGUAAAGAAGCACCGGCUAACUACGUGCCAGCAGCCGCGGUGAUACGUAGGGUGCGAGCGUUGUCCGGAUUUAUUGGGCGUAAAGGGCUCGUAGGUGGUUGAUCGCGUCGGAAGUGUAAUCUUGGGGCUUAACCCUGAGCGUGCUUUCGAUACGGGCUGACUUGAGGAAGGUAGGGGAGAAUGGAAUUCCUGGUGGAGCGGUGGAAUGCGCAGAUAUCAGGAGGAACACCAGUGGCGAAGGCGGUUCUCUGGGCCUUUCCUGACGCUGAGGAGCGAAAGCGUGGGGAGCGAACAGGCUAGAUACCCUGGUAGUCCACGCUGUAAACGGUGGGUACUAGGUGUGGGGUCCAUUCCACGGGUUCCGUGCCGUAGCUAACGCUUUAAGUACCCCGCCUGGGGAGUACGGCCGCAAGGCUAAAACUCAAAGGAAUUGACGGGGCCCCGCACAAGCGGCGGAGCAUGCGGAUUAAUUCGAUGCAACGCGUAGAACCUUACCUGGGUUUGACAUGGAUCGGGAGUGCUCAGAGAUGGGUGUGCCUCUUUUGGGGUCGGUUCACAGGUGGUGCAUGGCUGUCGUCAGCUCGUGUCGUGAGAUGUUGGGUUAAGUCCCGCAACGAGCGCAACCCUUGUUCACUGUUGCCAGCACGUUAUGGUGGGGACUCAGUGGAGACCGCCGGGGUCAACUCGGAGGAAGGUGGGGAUGACGUCAAGUCAUCAUGCCCCUUAUGUCCAGGGCUUCACGCAUGCUACAAUGGCUGGUACAGAGAGUGGCGAGCCUGUGAGGGUGAGCGAAUCUCGGAAAGCCGGUCUCAGUUCGGAUUGGGGUCUGCAACUCGACCUCAUGAAGUCGGAGUCGCUAGUAAUCGCAGAUCAGCAACGCUGCGGUGAAUACGUUCCCGGG